UACGUAGGGUGCGAGCGUUGUCCGGAAUUAUUGGGCGUAAAGAGCUCGUAGGCGGUUUGUCGCGUCUGCUGUGAAAACUCGGGGCUUAACUCCGGGCCUGCAGUGGGUACGGGCAGACUAGAGUGCGGUAGGGGAGACUGGAAUUCCUGGUGUAGCGGUGAAAUGCGCAGAUAUCAGGAGGAACACCGGUGGCGAAGGCGGGUCUCUGGGCCGUAACUGACGCUGAGGAGCGAAAGCGUGGGGAGCGAACAGG
rnacentral:rRNA from 1 species